rnacentral:lncRNA from 1 species
UGCCACGUCCCAUCCUCUCAAAACCUGUGUUACCCUGUGGCUAGAUUUCUCAAGGAGAUGAAAGAGAGAGACGAAUGAGAACCAUCUUCUUUCAGGGUGCUCUGCACUGUUCCUGCAGGUAGACAACGACCUCUCCGGUAAGGCUAUUAUCCUUGGCUGGGGGGUGGAGGCCUUAAUCCUAGAAAAGAGGCCUUUCAGGGUGGGGAGGCGAUUUAAAUUCUUAUGAGAGAGACGCAGCUCCCCACCUCAUCUGGACCUUCACAAACCUAAACUGGAACCGCCGGAAAAAUGACUGACAACCGGCCACACAAGCCAGGCAGAGACGCGGGGAGAGGCUGACCACAAGAAAGGAGGACGUAGAAAAUACCACCCUCUGGCGCACAGGGCACAUGUGUCCCAACACGCACACACAGACGGACACAGAGCAAAAGAGUGAGAAAGGGGAGAGAGAGAAACAAGAGAGAGAUAUACGUACACACACAAACGCACAAAGACAUACAGCAGUGGCACGGUAACACCUACCCCCAGGUAGCCCCUGAAUUUUCAGGGUUCUGCUCUCCACGACUACAACCCACUGGUGAGAGAGCAGCCCAGGGGCACACAAGAAAACCUCUCCUUUUUUGAAGAGACUCACUGGCACACUGUCCGUGCAGGCCUGAGGCUGGGAUCCCGCACUGCUUCCCCGGCCCUCCGCCCGCAGCUUCUUCCUCCUGGACGACCCUCCGUGAAUCCCGGCCUCCAGAGACUAUCCUGUUGAUGCCCUGGCCAUGACUGGUCUUAGCCCCGGCCAUGACUGGUCUUAGCCCCGACUCUGACUAAUCCCUGUAGUCCCAGGUACUCGGGAGGCGGAGGCAAGAGAAUCACUUGAACACAGGCGGCAGAGUUUGCAGUCAGCUGAGAUCCCACCACUGCACUCGACUGAGCGACAGAGUGAGACUCUGACUAUAAAAAAAAAAAAAAAAAAAGAAAGAAAAGAAAAAUGACCGUGGAGCGGCGGCUGCGGGAGUAGGGCGGCGGCGGGUGAAGUGAAGAUUGGGAGAGAGGCCUCGUCAACUCUCCCCGAAUCCAGGCCUGAGGCUGGGAUCUCGCGCUGCCGCCCAGGUGAUCCGCCUGAGGUUUCUUCCUUGUGAGGUUUCUUCCUGGUGGUCGACCCUCCGAGAAUCCCAGGCUCCGGAGACCAUCCUGUUAAUGCCCUGGCCAGGACUGCUCUCAGACUUGACCCUGACGCACUAUCACACGGGGCUCCUACUUCGCAAAGUCUCAGAAACCCAUCCCCG